GAGACCCAGCAGACGCCAGGGGGCGGGGCCCGAGUGCUGUAUGUGAGCGUCCACGUCCCAGCGGCAGACCCGGACAGGGGCCACGGAGAGUCGCCCCUCGGACCUUCCCCGGGAGGCAGAAAGGACGCCUGGAUUCCUCAGCUACUGGAGACCAGGGUUGGACUGCUGUGUCGGCAAGGUCCCCUGAAGAAGGAGAUGGCUACCCACUCCAGCAAUCUUGCCUGGAGAAUUCCAUGGACAGAGGAGCCUGUCUCUAGGUUGAGAACUCCAAGCAGUAAGAGACACAGGAUAAGAAUGGGAAAGAUGGAGCCUUUUUGAGAGUCUGCUGCUCUGCUAAAUGCCAUUUUGAAGGGAAAGAAGAAGUCGA